AGUGAACGCUGGCGGUAGGCCUAACACAUGCAAGUCGAACGGCAGCACAGUAAGAGCUUGCUCUUACGGGUGGCGAGUGGCGGACGGGUGAGGAAUACAUCGGAAUCUACUUUUUCGUGGGGGAUAACGUAGGGAAACUUACGCUAAUACCGCAUAUGACCUACGGGUGAAAGCAGGGGAUCUUCGGACCUUGCGCGAUUGAAUGAGCCGAUGUCGGAUUAGCUAGUUGGCGGGGUAAAGGCCCACCAAGGCGACGAUCCGUAGCUGGUCUGAGAGGAUGAUCAGCCACACUGGAACUGAGACACGGUCCAGACUCCUACGGGAGGCAGCAGUGGGGAAUAUUGGACAAUGGGCGCAAGCCUGAUCCAGCCAUACCGCGUGGGUGAAGAAGGCCUUCGGGUUGUAAAGCCCUUUUGUUAGGAAAGAAAAGCAGCAGGUUAAUACCCCGCUGUUCUGACGGUACCCAAAGAAUAAGCACCGGCUAACUUCGU
rnacentral:rRNA from 1 species